UGGAGUACCUGGCAGAGGCAAUACUAUACCAUGGUCAUGGAGUUGCUUUUCCCAGGGUGAGGCUCAUCCAUUGUAUUUCUCAUGUGCCGAUCCUAGGAUUUCCCCAAACAUGGCUACCUCAAUUGAUUAAUUUGUGGUGUAGGAGUAAUAGUUGAGGCGCAAACUACGUUCAAGUUCUCCCU
rnacentral:snRNA from 1 species